rnacentral:rRNA from 1 species
CAAUAGCGUAUAUUAAAGUUGUUGCAGUUAAAAGCUCGUAGUUGGAUUUCUGGCAGGAGUGACCGGCCGCACACACUGUGUGCGAGUUGCGUCAUUCUGGCCAUCCUUGGUGAGAUCCUGUUUGGCAUUAAGUUGUCGGGCAGGGGAUAACCAUCGUUUACUGUGAAAAAUUAGAGUGUUUAAAGCAGGCUUAUGCCGUUGAAUAUAUUAGCAUGGAAUAAUAAGAUAGGACUGUAGUGCUAUUUUGUUGGUUUGCGUACUAUGGUAAUGAUUAAUAGGGAUAGUUGGGGGUAUUCAUAUUCAAUUGUCAGAGGUGAAAUUCUUGGAUUUCCGAAAGACGAACUACUGCGAAAGCAUU